UACGUAGGUGGCAAGCGUUGUCCGGAAUUAUUGGGCGUAAAGCGCGCGCAGGCGGUCUUUUAAGUCUGAUGUGAAAGCCCACGGCUCAACCGUGGAGGGUCAUUGGAAACUGGGAGACUUGAGUACAGAAGAGGAGAGUGGAAUUCCACGUGUAGCGGUGAAAUGCGUAGAUAUGUGGAGGAACACCAGUGGCGAAGGCGACUCUCUGGUCUGUAACUGACGCUGAGGCGCGAAAGCGUGGGGAGCAAACAGG
rnacentral:ncRNA from 2 species